rnacentral:rRNA from 1 species
GUGGGGAAUAUUGCACAAUGGGCGCAAGCCUGAUGCAGCAACGCCGCGUGAGUGAAGAAGGCCUUCGGGUCGUAAAGCUCUGUCCUGUGGGACGAAACAAAUGACGGUACCACAGGAGGAAGCCCCGGCUAACUACGUGCCAGCAGCCGCGGUAAUACGUAGGGGGCAAGCGUUAUCCGGAAUCACUGGGCGUAAAGGGUGCGUAGGUGGUUCCUCAAGUCAGAAGUGAAAGGCAGUGGCUUAACCACUGUAAGCUUUUGAAACUGAGGAACUUGAGUGCAGGAGAGGUAAGUGGAAUUCCUAGUGUAGCGGUGAAAUGCGUAGAUAUUAGGAGGAACACCAGUGGCGAAGGCGACUUACUGGACUGUUACUGACACUGAGGCACGAAAGCGUGGGGAGCGAACAGGAUUAGAAACCCUAGUAGUCC